rnacentral:rRNA from 1 species
CAGCAGCCGCGGUAAUACGUAUGUCACGAGCGUUAUCCGGAUUUAUUGGGCGUAAAGUGCGUCUAGGUGGUUAUGUAAGUCUGAUGUGAAAAUGCAGGGCUCAACUCUGUAUUGCGUUGGAAACUGUAUAACUAGAGUACUGGAGAGAUAAGCGGAACUACAAGUGUAGAGGUGAAAUUCGUAGAUAUUUGUAGGAAUGCCGAUGGGGAAGCCAGCUUACUGGACAGAUACUGACGCUGAAGCGCGAAAGCGUGGGUAGCAAACAGGAUUAGAUACCCCGGUAGUCCCUGUCUCUUAUACA